AGCAGCCGCGGUAAUUCCAGCUCCAAUAGCGUAUAUUAAAGUUGUUGCAGUUAAAAAGCUCGUAGUUGAAUUUCGGGGUUCUACCGUUGGUCGGGCUUUGUCUGUACUGAUGUGUAGAAUUUCUACCUUCUGGGGAACCAUCAUGUUAUUAAUUUAGCGUGGUGGGAAACCAGGACCUUUACCUUGAAAAAAUUAGAGUGUUCAAAGCAGGCUUAUGUCUGAAUACAUUAGCAUGGAAUAAUAGAAUAGGACGGUGGUCCUGUUUUGUUGGUUUCUGAAUCACCGUAAUGAUUAAUAGGGAUAGUUGGGGGCAUUAGUAUUCAAUUGUCAGAGGUGAAAUUCUUGGAUUUAUUGAAGACUAACUUCUGCGAAAGCAUUUGCCAAGGAUGUUUUCAUUAAUCUAAGAACGAAAGUUAGGGGAUCGAAGACGAUCAGAUACCGUCGUAGUCUUAACCAUAAACUAUGCCGACUAGGGAUCGGAUGAUGUAAUUUUUUAAUGACUCAUUCGGCGCCUUACGGG
rnacentral:rRNA from 1 species